rnacentral:lncRNA from 1 species
GCAGGGGGCUGUCAUCUGCUCAGAAUAUAGGACUCGCACCCCAAAACACAGGGCACUCCCCCUACCCCGUGCCAUCCCAACUCUAGCCCCCACAUUAGGCUCAGGCCACUGAUAAUGCAGGGUCCACACAGCCCCAAAUGUGGAUUCUCCUUGACCUUGAGAAGCACUGAAUCCACCCCAACCUACGCCAAGGUCAUCAGCCUGACCCUGAGCAACAUGAAGAACUACAGGGACCACUUUGAGCAGUUGAACCAGCUUCACCACAGUGAAUGGAAUUAUUUUGAUAGUCACCUAAAGGACCUGCAUGACCGCUUCCUGAGGGAAGUGAAGAACACUGAGAAGAAAGCAGCAGAUGAAAGACAGGCCAGUCACACGAUCAUCCUGCCCUCCUCCUCCCACUCCUGCACUGAGGGGCUGCUUGAAAAGGAACACAGAAGAAACUGUGGCAGAGAAAUUGCCUUUCUCCUAAGGGUGAAGCUCUGGAAGCCAGGGACUGGGCUGUCCAGCUGCCGAGAGACCCUUUCUUGGAGCCAUUGCUUUCCUUAGGAGGGGAAUCCAGUUUUUCCCCUGGGCCGGGCCUGGAUCACUGCUUCCUGGAAACAGGGAAGGGGCAGACAUCCCAUACUUAGUAUUCAGACAGCUGCUCCAUUCUGUUUUCUUCUGGCUUCACAACCCCAAGUCUGUUUAUUUCAGUUUCUCCAGAAAACUAAAGCAAAAACAAAGCCUUCCAGUUUUGUUUUGUUGUUUUUUUGGUACCAGGGAUUGAACUCGGAACCUUGUGUUUGCGAGGCAGGUGCCAGAACUACUGAGCUAAAUCCCCGGGCCCAACCUUCCCGUUUUCAUCUGAUGCUCCUAACAACUCCUUGAGGUAACUUACAAAUUAGGAUUAUCUUUUUUUCUUUUUGGUACCGGGGAUCGAACUUGGGACCUUGCGCUUUCGAGGCAGGCGCUGGAACUAAAUUAGGAUUAUCUUUAGAUGUGUAAAAAAGGAAAAUCACCAGCAAUGGUGGCACAAAGGAUGGUUCUCACACAUAAAAGAAGUCUGGAGGUGGACAGUAUAGGCCUGGUGGGGAUGUUAGGGUUUUCAGAGGCCCAAGCUCCACCAUCCUAACCCUUGAUGUGUUCCAGGAUGCCUCAUGGCCCAUCAGCAUGGCUGCUGGGGUUCCAGGCAUUCAGUCUGUUUCCAGGCCACCAGCUGGAAGAAGGCCAAUUUCAUUCUCCUUUAUGGAGCCUUCCCAUAAGUCCCAAAUGUUUCAAUUUAACAGCUGAUUGCUAGUCUAUAACAUGGCUACAGAACCUUCUCUCAUUAAAAAAAAAAUACAUAUAUAUACA